rnacentral:rRNA from 1 species
GACGUAGGGCGCGAGCGUUGUCCGGAUUUAUUGGGCGUAAAGAGCUCGUAGGCGGCUUGUCGCGUCGUCCGUGAAAACUCGGGGCUCAACCCCGAGCUUGCGGUCGAUACGGGCAGGCUAGAGUUCGGUAGGGGAGACUGGAAUUCACGGUGUAGCAGUGAAAUGCGUAGAUAUCGUGAGGAAGACCAGUGGCGUAAGCGAAUCUCUGGACAGUUCCUGACGCUGAGGCACGAAGGCCAGGGGAGCAAACGGG